AUUGAACGCUAGCGGCAUGCCUAACACAUGCAAGUCGAGCGAGCGGCGGACGGGUGAGUAAUAUAUGGUGACUGCCCGCUAACGGGGGAUAACUACUGGAAACGGUGGCUAAUACCGCCUACUCUCGUCUAAACCAUCUGGGAUUAGCUAGUAGGUGGGGUAACGGCUCACCUAGGGGACGAUCUCUAGCUGGGCUGAGAGGAUGAUCAGCAACACGGGGACUGGGACACGGCCCAGACUCCUACGGAGGCAGCAGUGGGGAAUAUUGCACAAUGGGCGCAAGCCUGAUGCAGCCAUGCCGCGUGUAUGAAGAAGGCCUUAGGGUUGUAAAGUACUUUCAGCGGGGAGGCGUUACCCGAAGAGGAAGCAACGGCUAACUCCGUGCCAGCAGCCGCGGUAAUAC
rnacentral:rRNA from 1 species